rnacentral:rRNA from 1 species
UGGGGAAUAUUGCACAAUGGGGGAAACCCUGAUGCAGCGACGCCGCGUGAAGGAAGAAGUAUCUCGGUAUGUAAACUUCUAUCAGCAGGGAAGAAAAUGACGGUACCUGACUAAGAAGCCCCGGCUAACUACGUGCCAGCAGCCGCGGUAAUACGUAGGGGGCAAGCGUUAUCCGGAUUUACUGGGUGUAAAGGGAGCGUAGACGGAGCAGCAAGUCUGAUGUGAAAGGCAGGGGCUCAACCCCUGGACUGCAUUGGAAACUGUUGGUCUUGAGUACCGGAGGGGUAAGCGGAAUUCCUAGUGUAGCGGUGAAAUGCGUAGAUAUGUGGAAGAACACCAGUGGCGAAGGCGGCCGCCUGGCCUGUAACUGACGCUCAGGCACGAAAGCGUGGGGAGCAAAUAGGAUUAGAUACCC